rnacentral:rRNA from 1 species
GGUUGAUCCUGCCAGUAGUCAUAUGCUUGUCUCAAAGAUUAAGCCAUGCAUGUCUCAGUACAAGCCAAAUUAAGGUGAAACCGCGAAAGGCUCAUUAAAUCAGUUAUGGUUCCUUAGAUCGUACCCACAAUUACUUGGAUAACUGUGGUAAUUCUAGAGCUAAUACAUGCAAACAGAGCUCCGACCGGAGACGGAAGGAGUGCUUUUAUUAGAUCAAAACCAAUCGGUGGCGGGCUUGCUCGUCAUCGUACAACUUGGUGACUCUGAAUAACUUUACGCUGAUCGCACGGUCAUCGCACCGGCGACGCAUCUUUCAAAUGUCUGCCUUAUCAACUGUCGAUGGUAGGUUCUGCGCCUACCAUGGUUGUAACGGGUAACGGGGAAUCAGGGUUCGAUUCCGGAGAGGGAGCCUGAGAAACGGCUACCACAUCCAAGGAAGGCAGCAGGCGCGCAAAUUACCCACUCCCGGCACGGGGAGGUAGUGACGAAAAAUAACGAUACGGGACUCAUCCGAGGCCCCGUAAUCGGAAUGAGUACACUCUAAACCCUUUAACGAGGAUCAAUUGGAGGGCAAGUCUGGUGCCAGCAGCCGCGGUAAUUCCAGCUCCAAUAGCGUAUAUUAAAGUU